rnacentral:rRNA from 1 species
UACGGGGGGGGCAAGUGUUAUCCGGAUUCACUGGGUUUAAAGGGUGCGUAGGCGGGUUUGUAAGUCAGUGGUGAAAUCUCCGAGCUUAACUUGGAAACUGCCAUUGAUACUAUCAGUCUUGAAUAUUGUGGAGGUUAGCGGAAUAUGUCAUGUAGCGGUGAAAUGCUUAGAUAUGACAUAGAACACCAAUUGCGAAGGCAGCUGGCUACACAUAUAUUGACACUGAGGCACGAAAGCGUGGGGAUCAGACAGG